rnacentral:rRNA from 1 species
UAGGGAAUCUUCCACAAUGGACGCAAGUCUGAUGGAGCAACGCCGCGUGAGUGAAGAAGGUCUUCGGAUCGUAAAACUCUGUUGUUAGAGAAGAACGCGAGUGAGAGUAACUGUUCAUUCGAUGACGGUAUCUAACCAGCAAGUCACGGCUAACUACGUGCCAGCAGCCGCGGUAAUACGUAGGUGGCAAGCGUUGUCCGGAUUUAUUGGGCGUAAAGGGAACGCAGGCGGUCUUUUAAGUCUGAUGUGAAAGCCUUCGGCUUAACCGGAGUAGUGCAUUGGAAACUGGAAGACUUGAGUGCAGAAGAGGAGAGUGGAACUCCAUGUGUAGCGGUGAAAUGCGUAGAUAUAUGGAAGAACACCAGUGGCGAAAGCGGCUCUCUGGUCUGUAACUGACGCUGAGGUUCGAAAGCGUGGGUAGCAAACAGGAUUAGAUACCCUGGUAGUCCACGCCGUAAACGAUGAAUGCUAGGUGUUGGAGGGUUUCCACCCUUCAGUGCCGCANCUAACGCAAUAAGCAUUCCGCCUGGGGAGUACGACCGCAAGGUUG